GUUAAAUAAGUAGCCUUGUUUACGUUAGGUAUAAACUUAAAAAACAAAAAUAAUAAUAUUUUUAAAUUUUUUAAAGCUUUAUAAUUAAAUUACCAGUCUAUAAUUACUCAGUUAAAGAUGCUUAGCAGUAUGUCGCUGGUGGAAUAAUAAAUUAUUAUAAUAAAAAAUGUCAACUUUGUGGAAAUGCGACGGUAUGAUGGUGCAACAGUAUAUUUGUGUAGCAGUAUCAACCUAAGUUUGAUUAUAUAAAAAGAAUAUUGUGAAAGUAUAGACUAUUCUGGCAUGUUGAUACCAUGGCUGUUUUAACAUUUAUAUGAUUUAUAAAUUCAAAUCCUUCUGGCACACUUUUAGAGUUCAUUUUAUAAAUCAAUUUAUUGAAAUAUAUUGAUCAAUGCAUUUAAUAAGUACUCUUCUGGUACAAAAGCAGGCUUGUAAUUCCAUGUGGAAAAAUCGAAUUUCUUCCAAAAAUGCCCAAGUUUCAACCAAGUUGAUAUUUUUUAAAAGAACUUAAAAACCAUGUUAUUUUAUUUUGCUAUUUAUAUUGUGUAAAGAUAUUUUGAUCUUAUUUUUAAAAUAAAGUUUUAGUGUAGC